AGUGAACGCCGGCGGCAGGCCUAACACAUGCAAGUCGAACGGCAGCACAGUAAGAGCUUGCUCUUACGGGUGGCGAGUGGCGGACGGGUGAGGAAUACAUCGGAGUCUACUUUUUCGUGGGGGAUAACGUAGGGAAACUUACGCUAAUACCGCAUACGACCUACGGGUGAAAGCAGGGGAUCUUCUGACCUUGCUCGAUUGAAUGAGCCGAUGUCGGAUUAGCUAGUUGGCGGGGUAAAGGCCCACCAAGGCGACGAUCCGUAGCUGGUCUGAGAGGAUGAUCAGCCACCCUGGAAGUGAGACACGGUACAGACUCCUACGGGAGGCAGCAGUGGGGAAUAUUGGGCAAUGGGGGAGAGCCUGAUCCAGGCAUACCGCGUGGGUGCAGAAGGACUUCGGGUUGUAAAGCCCUUUUGUUGGGAAAGAAAAGCAGCAGGUUAAUACCCCGCUGUUCUGACGGUACCCAACGAAUAAGCACCGGCUAACUUCGUG
rnacentral:rRNA from 1 species